ensembl:lncRNA
CCCUGCCAAAGCCUGCCUCCAGCACUGUUCCCGGCACUUGCAGGUCUGCAGGCUUUCGCCAUCCACUCUUUCAUUGCCCUUCCAGGAAACACUGCUGGGUGCCUAAAGACCGGCGCGCUUCUUACACUUGGCAAGAGAAGAUAACAGUAAUGCUACAGCUUGGGCUUUGAAAGAUUAAAAGCAACAUUUAUUCCUUACAGUAUUUUCAAACUUCUUCAAGUUAAUUUGAAAUCCAUUUUAGAGAAUGUUUAACUAGUAAUACUGAUUUAUUUUUUUUAAUUUCGAAUAUAAUGUACUUGUUAUUUAAACCAAGUAAGAGAUAGAUUAAAGUAAGCGCAGUUCUUCAAAGUGCAUUAAAUGCUUUGAGCAGUCCUUUCCCUGUGCUGGAAGAAAUACCCCGUGCUUCUGGGACUGGUCUCUUUAUGAUAUCUCUGUAAAAGCCCUGGCAAGAAAAGAUCGUGUUUUGAGAGCAAUUUCCAAUUUUUCAGAAACUUUUUGUACCCCUCCCCCUUUCAGUGGCUGACCAACCUCACUGCUAGCCAAGUAGAGCACAAGACUCUCCCUUCCCCAGUUUGUGGGGCUGCUGAUAAAUUAUUCAUACCGCUAAUGAGGAUUGAGAAUUUUCAGGCAUUUUUAAAGGCUUGCAUCACUUCGUCAACAUUUCUUUCACACCUGCAUGCUUCAGGCAGUCAGGUGUUUAAAAUUACCGACACAGAGCUCUGCCCUUCUCCCCCUGAAAGUGCUUUGCUCAACAGUGGAGUCCUGUGGCUAUUUUGUCUGUUUGUCUGCAUGAGGUUUUUUCUGUGCUAAUUAGCGUGAGGGGAAAGGGGACUCUGAGAGGACUGUGUUAAUUACCAAAAGGGAUCAUGUAUCUCAGCUUAUAUUAAUUUUGAAAUGACAAGACACAGGUGCACAUUUAGUGGCAGUGAAUGAAUGUUAGCAUUUAAAGGCCUUUUUUUUUUUCUUUUUUUUUUCUUUUUUUUUUUUUUUCCCCCUCCAAUGGAUGGAUCUUCCUUUAGAGGGAGUUAUCAGAAGGAACAAUCUCAAAGUAAGGAAGCCCCUGCUGAAGCUAAGAGCUACAUGAUAUGAAAGGACUGAUUAUGUUUAUAUUAUGUGGUCUCCUGUGAAAAAAUCAAGCCUCCCAGCUAGUAGAGAAAGGUCACUGGAUCUGAGGAAACAACUGACUCAGUGUCUUAAUUCUGAAGGAAAUGAGUCCUUUGUAGAUGAGAGGGAUUUUCUGAUCUAGUUCAGAGAAAGGCAUAGAACUAUGAAAAUAAGUUUUUUUAUGUAGGGUUGGAGAAUAAAGAGGAGAAUCAGAAAGACUAGGAAUGGGAAGGUAAAAAAAGUCUCCCAUAUAGGUUUUUUUUUCUUUUUUUUUUUUUUCUACAUUUAAAUAUUCCACGGGUGACUGGAAGUGCUGUAUUAAUCUCCGUGCCUCCGUGCAUCAUCCGUAGCACCCUUAAAAAAACUUGGUGGAACGAGAGUGUCUGAAGAGGACAUUUGGUAUGUAUGUAUUGCUCUUUGAAUAUAGACUUCAGCCUAUAUUUGAGCCCUGUCUUGCCUCCAACUCACUUUUUGUGGAAUUGAGUUUUCAGUGGCUUUGGCUGAAUGCAAAGGUUAGAGUUGGCAUCAGUGGUGGCCCAUUGUACCCUGGGGAGUGUCUUGGGUAAGCUGGGCCCCUUCACUUUGCUUGGGCACUGCGCGUACUGACUGGGGGUCUCAAGCAUACAAUUCCUUCCCGUAUAUCAUUUAGCACAAAGAAAGAGGGAGAGAUAGGCAGGGUGAAGCAGGAAUGCUUACACAACAGUGUGGGUUUCCACAGCAAAGACUGAAGGCAGAUGAAUUUGGCUAUAAACAGGAAAAAAUGAAGCUAAAUUUAGCUUGUUCCCUUACUUGGCGUCAUAAGGUUACUGUGGGCAUAGUUUCUGUGGCCUUGUAUAGGUACACAGGAAUGCAUGUGUGCUAGUAGCCAAGCUGUUUUGGUGAAGACCAUGAUAGUUCUGUGAUAUUACAAAAAGUGUAGGAAUCUAAAUCCUCAUAUAAGCUGCAAGAGCAUCAUGAAGUACAAGCUCUGUAAAUCUUUACAGAUACUGGUCACUUGAAACGGAUAUACUUGUGAGCUUUGAUGUAUAUGCCAAUCAUUCAGUCAUUCUUGGAUAACAAUUUUGCUCUGAAAUAAAACCAACUGACUAACUGGGGAUAACUUCAUGCCCUAGCAGGAAGUAUAGAGCAUGCUUAGUACUAUGCUUACAAUGAAAGUGGCCAUUUUGAUAAAGCAGAUCACUGUAGAAGCUGAUCAGAAAUGCAAAUGCAAUAGAAAAUUGUUUUUAAUGGCUUUUGAGGAAAUAUUAAGAUUUAUUCGUGUAGAGACCUACUCAGCAUGUUGCACAAAUUCCUGUUAGCACACUAAUAAGUCAAUGUGUUACCAAAUGUUUAGUCAUUAUAAUUACAGCCACGUAUUGUCCUUUUUACAAAUAGGUCUGGCUUAAUUGCACCAUUUUUCAGCAGGAUUUAUGUGGUCCUGUUUAAUCUAAAAUUAGUACAUGCACAAAUGAAGUGCAAACUAUUUUCCAUCACUGAACUGUGAAAUAUUCUCCAGAAUAGAGAUAUACCAACGUGUUCUGAAAAAGAUGCAAUAAGCAGUCAGGCAACUUUGUGAUUUGUCUGCUUCUAUACAAUUUGCUAGAACUAAAAAAAAAAUACACUAAAACACACAUUAACGGCCAACUGAACAAAAACGUAAGUUAAAUGAUCUAAAUUGAGCAGUACUGUUUGAUCACCACCAGUUAGAGGAUGGGGGAAAUCAUAAAUCUAUCUUGAUAUUGCUAGCUUUCAGCAUUUAAGUACAGUAAGAGAUGGUGCGUUUAAUAUAUCACAUCCAUCUAUCACAUGUAAAUGUAUCGCAUUUCUAAGAUGCUCUGUAGGCCAAAUUGUGAAGGCCUAAAUUUUAAGUUACUAUGACUAAUAUUUCUUAUUACCCACAUAGCUCUGAGAGCCUAAAGAUGCACGUAGGACAUGGUAGACAUAUAAGUGGGAGCUGCUUGAACCUGGGACACGUGUAGCAAUUGCAAUACGUACAUAGUGAUGUGAUAUUUGGAAUAUGUGUGACUUCUAAGAGUAUUGUAACUUAGACAUUAAAAUCUAUAUGCAUGGCUGAAUCCCGCUUGGAUCUAAAGGCCUAACACUGGCUGAAAUCUUGGUUCUACUUGCAUCUAACAGGAAAAAGUUUAUUUGUCUUCAGUAGAGCUUUGGUCUUCCUGUGUAGAAUAGAGACUGUCUGACUACUGUGAGGAAAUGUGCUGGUUUUUAGGGUGAAUCAGAAAACCAACAAAAGUUCCCAUGUUACCUGAGUACUAUUAUGGUAGUGCUAAGGACUGUUCUGUCUCUAAACAUGGGAGAUUCUUCAUGUUGUCUUCCUGACAGUAUUUGUAGCUGCAGUGUAGAUAAAUGCAGUUUUGUGCAGUAUGAGUUUGAUGUGGAAAGUAGGAGAAUGUCUCUAUUAUUAAAAAUAUAUGAGGAUUGAAUAUAGCUCUUGGUUCAAAUCUACUCUUGGUCUUUGUGGUUUGAAAUUAUUUCUUUGUAUGCUUCAAUGGGCCAAAAUUUUGAGGACUUACUUGAAGUAGGGCACACAGUGACAUGUGGGGUAUGAUCUUACCCAUGAGACACAUGCACUGUAGUGCGUAUGAAUGGGUUAAUAUGCUGACAAGCAGUAGCUUGCAGGUCACUGCCAUUUCUCUCUGCUUCAGCAUGUCACCACAGUAAUUCACACUCUGAAACCUUAAGGCUAUAUCUGGUAACGUUCACUUCUUCAUGCUGCAAAUAGAAGCUUCAGCAGAGCUGUCUUUUAAAUAGCACCGGCCCUGAGCGAGCACAGCGAUCCUUGGGGAUCAGAACCAUCCUCAGUGUGGCUUACAGCGGUGUUUGUGAUGUGUAUUAUCCCAAAGCUGAAAGUACUGAUGCACUAGUGAGAGGCUCAUCCUUCUCUGCAGUUCUUUGCCCCAAAUGCUGUGUGAUGACAACAGAGGUGCUCCCAAAACAGGGCCCAGGACUCCUCCGGUGCUUUAGGAUUGUGCUGAGGUUUGAACCAGUGUGACAUUGGUCCUGCCAGCCCUGACUGUCACCCAACAUCACUCUGCUCUUACCAAACAUCUACUUUUCCUAAGAAUUUUUGUAAAUUAAAGUCAAGUGCCCAGGUUGAGGGAUUUGCUACCAUCUGUAAAUGAGGUGUUUCUCAGGUAAACUUUUCCUAAAGCACUUUAAUGAAAUCAUUUAAGGACUGUUAGCUUCAUUUGAUAAGAACAAAACCUGAUCCAGGAGUAGGAUGUGGGCAUCGUAAUCAUACCUGGAGAAAUCAUAUGUGGAAAAUGAUGUGACACCAGAAUUUAGGGGACACUUUCCUAAGGAGGCAUGUUAGUUGUGGAUGUGAUGCUGGUAGUCUGGGCUUUGGGUGAAGUCCUUUGUAGGUAUAGAAACCCUCCUUAGCACAGGAAAAUGUCCUCGGAGCACAGAGCUUGAGUUUUCUGAAAUAAUGGCACUUCUAAAUGAAUGUGAGGGAAGGAAUAUGCCUUGCUAUCAAUUACUCAAGCUACUCAUUUAAUAGGUUCUGUGAUUUUGGUUGCUUCCACAACAAACAGCAUUUCCAGUGCUACAUGUUUUUUUGAACAGCUUCAGGUAGGCAGCUUAGGACUGCUCUGAUUUUGUUGUGGAGCACUGUUUCCCUUUAGCAUGUUCUCCACAUAGGGUGACCUACCUUAGCCUGCCUGCAUGCCAGGGGAUGAUCUCCAUCUGUUGGAUACGUGUCAUGUGAGCUGCUGACCUGCACUGCAGUAGCACCCUGCAGCACCCGCAAGAUGCUCCGCUGGCUGCUGUGUGAUACGGAGCAAGGAGCACCUGCAGCAGCCUGGAGGAAAAUGGGUCACUCUUGUAGGUACCUUAAAAUAUGAAGGAAAAUUCUUCCUGAAAGCUGUGGAGCUGGAAGCAGUUAUUUAAGUCCUUUUUAAGCAGAAGGGCUGCUCUUGCCUUAGUUCACAGAAAUUAAUGCUGAAGGCACCUGGACUCAAAGGAUGGAAGCUCUGCUCGCUUUUCUCAAAUUGGUUAUUCUGAUAUUUCUGGUGCAUCUUGAAUAUGUAGAAGCAGCAGAACUUGUCUCAAGGAAUAAAGGCAUCAGCACAGGAAGAGGACAGAUGGUGCAUGUUCCUGAAACUGAACCACGGCUCCAUGUUCCCAAAGAAAGUGAAUCCCACAAGGUAGACGUGGUUUUAAAUGAACUGGGGACACUGACAGUUGAGAAAAGAAGGAAUGCCUCAGGUGAGUGAUUGUCCUGUGGGGUGUCAGACCUGGCCAUCCUUGGUCAAGUUGGCCAUGGGAAAUCUCUCCCCAGGAGGGAUGAGUUGCAGUGGUAUGAAGAGGAGCUGGUGGAGGGGCUCUCUCAGGCUUCCCGCAUUUGCACAAACUGCUUCAUGGUUAUGUUAUGUGCUGAUGCUGUCUUUCUGUUCAUUUCGUUUAAAGGUAGCUUUUAAAAGAAGAGCCUGGAGCAGUUUUGUGCUCACAGGAUGCUCUCUGCUCCUUGCAAUCCUGAGGCCUCAAAACCCACUUCGCUUGCCUGGGGGUGCUGAGAUGCUGUACGACUGGCUUUCCUGGGCUGCACUCCAGCUGUGCAGUGUCUUGUGUUAAACUAAUUUAUUCUCUCCAAAGAGAUUACUGGCAUUUAAAUGGUUAUUAAUUAAGGAGAAUUUGUGUUUUUCUCACCUGAUUUUUUUUACAUGCUUGGAAAUAGCAUUUAUUCACGCAAGUUUCUGCUGAAAAACGACUUAUUAAUUCACCUCAGCCUGUGGCCAGCAGUCUUUUGAAGCAAAAGUGCAAGGACUGGUGUAGGUAAGUUACAUGUGUUGCACAGGGAAGAUGUUUUCCUGACUCACACUGGUAGAGGAUGAUAUUCUCUGAACUGUGAGAGUUCCUAAACCUUCCAGAAGACUUCUGCUUGAUUUUCAAGCCUUAUUAUGGUAAGUUGACAUAUUUUUUUAUUUGUUCCUAGCAGAAUUGGUCUUGGAGUGAGGAAAAAAAUACAGAUUAAAUGAUAGUUAGAAUCAUAAGUUUACCAGUUUGCUGGAAGUGUGCAUCUAUGUAUUUUUUUUCAAAUUUCUGCACUGCAAUAGAUUUCUUUUUUUCUUAAUUCCAGAAUGUAUUUGGAGUGUUUCUUUAUCUCUGAUUCCUGUAGGCUGUCUGCAACUACUCUAGGCUGAGGAUGAGCUUGAAAAGAAUACAUAUAUGCUCCUGGAAUAUAAAUUAAUCCUUAACUUCUCCAAGUUAAAUUGGUGAUAACAUUUUUUACCUUCUCAGAUACCAGUUAGUGUCACAAAUAAACCCUGAGUUGUUGUGAAGGAUCAUCUGAUUUCCUAGAUUAAUCCAAAAGAUAUGCUUUCAGAUCUUGAACCCUUCUCCUUAACCUCUGUUCCAAACAUAGUUUAUGCUGAGAUGAAGCAGAGACAAAUACACAAUAGAGCCUAAAUAUUGCUGCCUAAUAGGAACAACUGAGGGGUGUGUGCUAUAUCUUCUCAUAGCAACCAUAGGCCACAUUUCAGAUAUGGGGACUGAAUGGAUCCCAUGCAAUUGUUUCCAUGGUUGCACAGGGUUUGGUGUACCCAGUGACAUUAAUAUUCAUGUCCUUAAUAAAAUAACUUGUACAAAGACAAUUCUUCCCUGUUUAUUUCCUAUCUUAAACGAUUAUUCUGUAGAUGUUCAAAUGGAUUUAAGAUAUAAAAGUUACAUUAAAACGUACAAUUUUUUUUUUUAGCAUGGACUGAGCCUUUCAUACUUAGGUUUACUGGAUGGUAGACUACCAUAGAAAUACUUCCUCCCAUAUGUACAAGGAAGCUGGACUCAAGUAUUGCUCACUUUGGAAAAAUGCCCCUGCAAGUUCCUGAAUUUCUUUGGCACGCAUAACAGAGUGGACAGAAGCAUCUCAAUCUUCACGUGUGGUGGUGUUGGGCCAGGUACAGCCUGCCUACAUGGAUCAUGUCUCCAGAGACACUGCUUACUGCUUUGGGUAAAGCAGUGGCAGUGGAGAAGAAGCAUUUACCUGAAUAUCUGCAAAAUGCAAGCAGAAGGAAAGCUGUGGUUCAAGGUGCUGAAGAAAUGCCAAAGGACAAGCUAAUGCUGCAUGUUGCUAGCCACCUGCUGCAGGAUACUUCACCCAUUUGGAGAACUGUGCAUAGAAUGCUACCACCUUCAGUCAGCAGGAUGUGUCUGAUACGAGAGCUGCUACCUGCCACCUGAUGUGUCUCACCCUGGGAGACAGGACGAUGAAGUAAUGGAGCCUGGCUGUCUGCAGCCAGGGCUGCUGUACUACAUCCAAAGCAAGCUUGAAGUCAGCAAGUGCUGCAUUAAUCUUUCUGGGAGUGUUUGUUUUGCUUGUUUUGUUAGGCUACAUUUCAAGCAACUGAUAAUGUGUUCGUGAGCAGUUCUCCUGUUGCAGCCCAUUUUUCAAAGGAAGUGUGAAGACCGAUGCUCCAAAGGUUUGGUGGAACAUGAGUGUGAAGGGUUAUGUAUGAUCAUGCUUGAAAUGUGUGAGCUGACAGUGCUUUCAAGUGCAUGUUAAUAUGUCUGUGCAGGUACUUUUGGGAUAGAGAAGUUAUGGCUUUGUGUGAAGUCUGAUCAGUGUUUUAAAAAAUACACCUUUGUCAUGGUUCUUUAUGGAUGCUAAUUGUGCUAGUGCAGCUACCUCACUGCAAUUGAGUUGUGUGUUUAUUUACUUACUGAUAGUCAAGUCUUCUAACUAAUCAAGGCUAAACUCUGAAGCUUUCUGAGGAUUAAACAAUAAAUGCUUUAUUGCUUAAAGCUUUUUGAGCAUUGAAAUGCCUGAGAUUUUUGGAGGUAAAUGUCAGUGUAUAUGGCUUGUUGCUACCUGAACUUGUAGUGUCACUGCUCCGUCCAUCUGUGUUACUGUUGUUACAGUUCUAUAGAGUUCUAUAGAUGUUUCAAAAUAUUUGUGCCUUUAGUUCCUACUAGUCAGAAAGGAAUCCCCAAGAACUUUUAAGGAUGUGGAAAAUUCAGAUAUGAUUCCAGAGCCUCCUGGAUCAGUUGAAAAGGAAAAUACAUAUAUUUUUUUCUGGACUCUUUUCUCUUUUCAAGAAACCAUGUGCUGAUUUGAGGGGGAAAAAAAAAAUAGCAAUGUAGAAACAUUGCUGUAGAGACAAGUCAAGAGAAUUGUAGCUCCAGAGUGAGAAUACAAGGAAGUGUUAAGACCUUGAGGUCUUUUAGGCUGCUUAAGUACUCUGAAAGAAUCAGUUAUUGUGGAUGGGAUGUUGGCAUUUAUGAUGUGGUGAUCUCUCAGGAUAACACAAACCCAGUGGCUGUUUCAUGUGUGCAUACUUACCUGGAAACUUUGAGAAGAAAUCUUUUAUUUAAAUAUGAUCUUUUCAGCUGGGAGCACUCUGAAAGUAGUACCAAACAAGACGUAACAUUUCUACCCUGAAGUCAAAUCAUCUGCUUAGCAUCUUGCUCUGGAAGGACCCACAACUGGUGCAACUCUGGCACACAGAGAACAGGAUGCCUAAAUGGGGAAUGCUGGUGCUCAUCCACUCCUGCUGCGUGAAUGAACGCUGUGAGAAUUCCCUUGACACAGGAAAGUGUUGUGGUAUCAGACUCAACAUUAAUUGGUGUGGUAACAGGAGGGUUCCUCCAGGCUCAAGAAACAUUAUAAAACCCCCCUUCUCCAAAUCAGCUGCUAACAGUCAAUUUAAGAGAGCUUCACAUCUUGUAUUCUGCUGCAUACCUCUUUUUGAAGUGUAAUGCCAAUCCUGACCUCUGUGACACACCAUCUUACAGUUACAUAGUAGGACAGUCAUGUCCUAUCAUGUAAGACACCCUACAAGCUGCUGCAAAUGACAGUGGGGAGACUGUACAGCUCUUGGUGAUGCAAGGUCCUUGAUAUGGACUUAUCACACUGUGAGGUGUAUUGUGGCAGAUGGGGGUUAAACUGUUGGCAAUCCAGUGCCUACAAAAUCUAAGCAUGGUUUCUCUUGCAGGACUUAUCCUCCUAAUUUUCUUGAGAAAGGAUUGAGUCUUUUGUAUAUUACAUAGAAAGAAUAACAGAAGUUCUUUGGAAAAACAAAAUAUAUGCUCUGCAAUUUCUGAAGUGAGAGUACACAGAGUUCAGGUAUGCCAAUUCCAUUUGCAUGUUUCUUUGGAACGCUGAAAUGAAUACAGCAAAUGAAUAGUAAUGUCAAGAUACUGCAAAAACAAAAAGCACUGAAAGAGAAUUCUCGUGGACUGAUGAACUGAGAGCUGAAAUGGGAGCAGCAGAUUUUACAGUGUGAGUGAUGCUAAUUUUUCAGCCUAACAACCAACCAUGCACUGAAGCCCUGCUACUUCUGAGCUGACAUCAUCCAGAUGAGAAAGCUUCUUUCUAGUAACUUAUCAGCCUGGAAAACCAGCCCUGCAGGGUAACACCCAACCCAUGCUUUAAAUGUCAAGGAGAAAAACAUCUUUGUAUUGCCGAGCAGUCACAGCAGCUUCACUUCUGAUUUGAUAGCCUUGGAUGGAAGCAGGUACCAGCAUGAUGAUUCAGAAACCCUUGAAGAUAUAGUCAUAUUUUCAGCAACAGAUGGAUUUAACACUGCAGAUGGAGUGUUAAGAGUGCAGUUGUCUGUGGACUCUGAGAACAUAUUCAAAACCAGAAUUCUCUCUGGAACAUUGACUCUCGCUUGAUGGUAUGAUAGACUUCUACUUUAGAUCUGGAUUCAGAAGUAGUGGAUCACGCUUUAAUGUUGGUCUGCCCUCAUCAUUUGGAAGAGAAAAAACAAACAUUCCUGUGCCUCAGCUCAUCAGUGUCUGCAGCUGACUCAAUCAGCUGUAGAACUGAAGGGAAGGAAACAUAAAUUGAUGUGAAGAAAAUGUUCUCCCUGAAGCUGCACAAGCAGCAAUGAUUGUCAAAAGCUGAUCUUUAUCCCUUCAAAGACCUGCAGAUGGGGUCACUGAUCACAUCGUCUCAUUCAUUGGUUGGACUUCUAUAUACAACGUUUGGAAUAAAGCACACACUUUUUUAAAGCUGAACUUUGAAGCCGAUCCCUCUGUAACGCUUGGUGGAACUGUCUAGCUUAGUUUGUACACUGUCACAUGAACAGAUGCUGACAUGCACCUGUAGUUGGUCUCCACUGGGAACCAUAUCAUGUAAAAGUAGCUGGACAAUUUAUGAACUCACUUCAUGAUAAAAGAAUAGGUUUUUAUGUAAAGAGCCUUCAGUGAAAAGCAUGUGCUUUGUGUGUCUAG